UGUUUACAUAGUUAUUCGUGUUAUGUUUGUGAAAAUAUUAACUUUUAAUACGUAUAAGAUCUCCACUCUUUAGCAGAAAAAUAGGAUUUUAUUAUUUAUUAGAAAAAACAAAAUCAGUUGAGCAAGUACAUUUAUGGACGUCAAUUUCUAUCAUAUAGGUAAAAAUAUUAUAUCGUUUUAUUAACUACUAUCUAAUGCAUUAACAAUUUAAAUACACAUAAUAUUUGAUAAAAAAUCUAUAGAAUCUCUUACCAAAAAAAAAUAAAAAAUCUUUAGAAUCGCAAAUUUAUCCUCACAUCUGCAGAAUAAAGGUCAAACCUACUUUUAUACAUUUAACAUUUUUAGCCGGGGUGCGAGAGAGAGAGAACAGCUUACCUUCGUUGUUCUCUGAUGACCGCAGCCGUCACCGGCAUUUCCUCACCGGAACCGCCAGACCCAGACCCACCAGACCUAACUUCAGCAUUUACAAUCCCUUCCACUUUUGUUUGCUUCCCUGUCCUUACUCUCACCAUUUCAGAUCUAGAUCUAAAAAUUCAAACUUUUAGAGAGAUAGAUUUGAGCAGCCAGAUCUUCAAAAAGACUUUUCUUCUAAAAGAUUUUGGUCUGGUGAAUCUUAUUGUCGUGUUCAUACGACCCCUUACUGCAGUAGGCAGAUCUGUCUCCAUCACCUCUUAUCCUGAAGCUCACCCUUCUCUCAUUUUCACCAUGUCUCCCACCACCGGAUCUCAUUCACCGCCAUCACUGGAACCAUUAAUCCUUCUACUGGAUACAUCCCUGCAGUGUUUCUGGAUUGUUUAUCCUUGGUGAAGUAUGAUUGCCUCCCAUAUGUUCCAUUCGGUUUGAGUGGUUCUGUUGCAGGGAGUAGUGUGCCCAAGAUUAUGUAUGCUUCCAUGUUUGUUUUGUUCAAAGGCUCAUCCAUUUGGUGCUUUGUCGCCUCUGCUUGUGAUGCCGAACUUCUGAUUGUUAAAGCUGCUUCUGUUGCGGUUUCAAUCCCGGGCGUUAGACCAGUACUUGUGCUCUCCAAUUCCCAAAGCUUCAUUUCACUUCUUAGCACGAUUGGCGUUGAGUUUCGAGGACUGCUCAGCGACAUUAUGUGUUGUUUAUGUGUUAUGUUUGCUCUUAUCUUAUGGUGUUAUAUCUCAUUGUUUUGCUUUGCUAUGGUAGCAGCAUAUGUUUUAGCCGGUUUGGCUUUGUUAUUGCUUAACGUAAACAAUUUCUCCAGCAAUGGGGACUAAUGAUUUAUAAAGCUGUUGUUUGAUCAAAAAAAAAAAAAAAAAAAAAAAAAAAAAAAGGUCAAACCUAACAUCUUAUCAAUCUGUAAUAUUAACUUUGAUGAAUAUUCAAUAUGUAGAGUAUGUGUAUGUU